GACGAACGCUGGCGGCGUGCUUAACACAUGCAAGUCGAACGGAAAGGCCCCUUUGGGGGUACUCGAGUGGCGAACGGGUGAGUAACACGUGAGUAACCUGCCCUUGACUUCGGGAUAACUUCAGGAAACUGGGGCUAAUACCGGAUAGGAAUCCUUGCUGCAUGGUGGGGGUUGGAAAGCUUCGGCGGUUUUGGAUGGACUCGCGGCUUAUCAGCUUGUUGGUGGGGUAGUGGCUUACCAAGGCUUUGACGGGUAGCCGGCCUGAGAGGGCGACCGGCCACAUUGGGACUGAGAUACGGCCCAGACUCCCACGGGAGGCAGCAGUGGGGAAUAUUGCACAAUGGGCGGAAGCCUGAUGCAGCAACGCCGCGUGCGGGAUGACGGCCUUCGGGUUGUAAACCGCUUUCAGCAGGGGCGAAGCUUGUGGUGACGGUACCUGCAGAAGAAGCACCGGCUAACUACGUG
rnacentral:rRNA from 1 species